rnacentral:rRNA from 1 species
AAAAGACUCGCAGAAUUGAAUAGCUAAUGAAACAUAGAAUUUUUUAAAAUUCAUGAUGUCGUAAGGGAAAAUAAUGAUAAUACCUUACUAUGAGUGUCGUCCAAAUCUGGUGCCAGAAGACUCGGUAAGACCAGAGACGCAAACGUUAAUCAUCAUAAACAGGCGUAAAGGGUUUGUAGGCAGCUUUCACCAAACUAUGAUUACAAAAUAAAGUAGUUUAAUUGAAAGCUAGAAUCAAAAAGAGGUUAUAGUGUAUAACGCCUAGAGGAGGGCUGAUAUCCAUAGAUCCUAGGCAGAAUACUCAGGGCGAAGGCCACUCUCCACUACUGAUUGACGCUGAGAAACGAAGGUUAGGGUAGGAAAUAGGAUUAGAUACCCCGGUACUCCUUUCUGUAAACGAUGAAUGGUAGUCAUUAGUUUUAUAACUAGAGACGAAGUUAACACAAUAACCAUUCCGCCUUGUGAGUACUACUGCAAAGUAGAAAACAAAAAAAUUAGUCGGUCUCGAAGCAAACGGAGUGAAGCAUGUUAUUUAAUUCAU